rnacentral:rRNA from 1 species
AUUGAACGCUGGCGGCAUGCCUUACACAUGCAAGUCGAACGGCAGCACGGGAGCAAUCCUGGUGGCGAGUGGCGAACGGGUGAGUAAUAUAUCGGAACGUGCCCAGUCGUGGGGGAUAACGUAGCGAAAGCUACGCUAAUACCGCAUACGAUCUAUGGAUGAAAGCGGGGGAUCGCAAGACCUCGCGCGAUUGGAGCGGCCGAUAUCAGAUUAGGUAGUUGGUGAGGUAAAGGCUCGCCAAGCCGACGAUCUGUAGCUGGUCUGAGAGGACGACCAGCCACACUGGGACUGAGACACGGCCCAGACUCCUACGGGAGGCAGCAGUGGGGAAUUUUUGGGACAAUGGGCGCAAGCCUGAUCCAGCAAUGCCGCGUGCAGGAUGAAGGCCUUCGGUUGUAAC